UACGUAAGGGGCAAGCGUUAUCCGGAUUUACUGGGUGUAAAGGGAGCGUAGACGGCAUGGCAAGUCUGAUGUGAAAACCCGGGGCUCAACCCCGGGCCUGCAUUGGAAACUGUCAGGCUAGAGUGCAGGAGAGGUAAGCGGAAUUCCUAGUGUAGCGGUGAAAUGCGUAGAUAUUAGGAGGAACACCAGUGGCGAAGGCGGCUUACUGGACUGUAACUGACGUUGAGGCUCGAAAGCGUGGGGAGCAAACAGG
rnacentral:rRNA from 1 species